AAAAUAAGAAUAGGAACAUGGAAAAUAAGAAGAGGAGGAUAAGAAAAGAAGAAGAAGAAAGAGAAUAAGAAGAGGAGGAGAGGAGAAGAAGAGGACAAAUAGAAGAAGAGGAGAAGUAGAAGAAGAGGAGAAGUACAAGAAAAAGGGGAGAAGAGGAAGCGGAGAAGAAAAGAAGAAGAAGAAGAAUAAGAAGAAGAAGAAGAAGAAGAAGAAGAAGAAGAAGAAGAAGAAGAAN
rnacentral:lncRNA from 1 species